GACGAACGCUGGCGGCGUGCUUAACACAUGCAAGUCGAACGGAAAGGCCCUGCUUUUGUGGGGUGCUCGAGUGGCGAACGGGUGAGUAACACGUGAGUAACCUGCCCUUGACUUUGGGAUAACUUCAGGAAACUGGGGCUAAUACCGGAUAGGAGCUCCUGCUGCAUGGUGGGGGUUGGAAAGUUUCGGCGGUUGGGGAUGGACUCGCGGCUUAUCAGCUUGUUGGGGGGGUAGUGGCUUACCAAGGCUUUGACGGGUAGCCGGCCUGAGAGGGUGACCGGGCACAUUGGGACUGAGAUACGGCCCAGACUCCUACGGGAGGCAGCAGUGGGGAAUAUUGCACAGUGGGCGGAAGCCUGAUGCAGCAACGCCGCGUGCGGGAUGACGGCCUUCGGGUUGUAAACCGCUUUCGCCUGUGACGAAGCGUGAGUGACGGUAAUGGGUAAAGAAGCACCGGCUAACUACGUG
rnacentral:rRNA from 1 species